GACGAACGCUGGCGGCGUGCUUAACACAUGCAAGUCGAACGGAAAGGCCCUGCUUUUGUGGGGUGCUCGAGUGGCGAACGGGUGAGUAACACGUGAGUAACCUGCCCUUGACUUUGGGAUAACUUCAGGAAACUGGGGCUAAUACCGGAUAGGAGCUCCUGCUGCAUGGUGGGGGUUGGAAAGUUUCGGCGGUUGGGGAUGGACUCGCGGCUUAUCAGCUUGUUGGUGGGGUAGUGGCUUACCAAGGCUUUGACGGGUAGCCGGCCUGAGAGGGCGACCGGCCACAAUGGGACUGAGAUACGGCCCAGACUCCUACGGGAGGCAACAGGGGGGAAUAUUGCACAAUGGGCGGAAGCCUGAUGCAGCAACGCCGCGUGCGGGAUGACGGCCUUCGGGUUGUAAACCGCUUUCGCCUGUGACGAAGCGUGAGUGACGGUAAUGGGUAAAGAAGCACCGGCUAACUACGUG
rnacentral:rRNA from 1 species